rnacentral:lncRNA from 1 species
AUGUAGGAGAUCUUAGUUCAAAUUAUUAGAAAAAAUUAUCUUAGAAAUAUAGUUAAUAGUCAAAAGGGUAGUAAAACUAAAAAGUACCAAUGUUGCAUUUUUAGAAAGGUGACUUCUACUUACUUUGUAGGACCAUAAAUAAGGAAAAACAAAAUAGAUUGGAAAAAUAAAUGAUAUAGACAUCUUUAGAAGGAAGUUAAGAUUAAAUUCUAGAAAAAUUUACUUAAGAAAAACUAGAUAUUGAUAUCAAAAGAAGGUUGGUUAUGAACCAGGGUCGAAAUUAGACCAUAAGGCACAAAACUAAGUCUCA